rnacentral:lncRNA from 1 species
UACACAGCUAAAAAAGAAACACCAGUGACAAGCACAUCAACUUUGUCAACAGUAACAACCUCAGUGUCUGCGGCAACAUCAACCUCUGUGUCUGUGGCAACAUCAACCUCAGUGUCUGUAGCAACAAGUAUUAGUGCAAUAACUCUGCAAACAACUAAACCAUCAUCAGUUUUAUCAGCUCUAGAGAAAUUAUCAAAGUCACCAAUACAAGAAACAUGAGGUAUAACUAGUACUGCAGCAUCCACUACACAGCCUAGUGUCUCAUUUAAGCCAUUGUUUGGUACACCCAGUACAGCACAAAGUACAGUAAACAGUGUUGUGACUGGUUUACAGACAGCAACGGUUUCAUCGUCUGGAUCCACUGCUGGUACUGGAAUAUUGGGUACCGGUCAGCCAGCUGUUUCAACUGGUACCAAGUCAAGUUUGGCUGAUCCUAGUACCUCAAACCAGGAGGGUACACUUUUAAUAUUCAAAAGACUGCACAGUCUGUAGGGGGAUUGCCAACU